GGUGUGAGUCCUGCAAGAACAAGUGAGAUAGAGUGUCAACACACCGUAUAGGAUGUGAGUUCGAAAGGGUUGGUUGCACGGGAGGGGCAUCUGUUAACAAAGUCUCAAUUUUGAUUUCAUAAAAAAGAUGCCACGAAGACGAACAAUGAAGCAUCACAAAAGCCCAGUUGAAGACAUAUCAAAUCCAGAAAAGACCAACUAAACGAAGCAAAUCCCAGCCAAGCUUGUCUAAAAAAGCAGAAUCGAGUCUAAUUUUUGCGAGAAAACGGCCAGGGAAAGGGAAGCAGAUCGAACAAAGUCAGUAAAGCUAAGGCAAGACAAACCAAGGAAACCAAAGCUGGAACAGCUAGAUAAAGUUAAGCCAAAUAAGCCAAAUGAAACCUAAGUUAAUCACAAUUAAGUCAAACAAAUGCAGCGAAUUAAAGCUAAGGAAGGCAAGAAGAGACCCGUUCAAUAAAAGAAAGCCAAGCAAAGUCGAGCUAAAUCAAGCCAAACCAAGCUAAACAAAGCCAAGACAAACCAAGGCCAAGCCAAGACAAACCAGGAACAAGCCAGGAUCAAGCCAAGCCGAGCCAAGCCGAGCCAAGCCGAGCCAAGCCAACCAAGACAAGCCUGAAGGCUGAAAUACACUAUGCAUUUAAAUUGAUUCAAUUAAAUGGAUAACUGGACAGUGUAAACUCAAAUUGGAUGUCAAAGUAGCUAUUUCGACCAAAUGAAACCUAUGGUGAGACAAGCCACGUAAGCAGGGAAAUACAUCAAGAAAAAAGGUAUGCAUUGUAUUUGUGAUGAAAAUUGUUAAGUAAUAAAAGGAAAGUUUCUGACAUGGGAAAUGAUUCUUAGGUUUUGGAUUUCGAGCAACCAGUGUUGAAUUCUUGAAUUUGAAUUACCGUUCUGAAUUUGUUUUCUUCACAUUAGCCAAAAAGGAUCAUAGAAAAGGAAUCUUUAUGUUGAAAUUAGUCUUUGCCGAAAAUUUCAUGUUGUUUGGACAGCGAAUUUUCAAUAAUUAGCUUUUCCUUACAUUGUAGGCAACAGCAAAUUACGGUCAAAUCUUAAGAAAUAUUUUAAAAUUCAAAACGUAGCAACAAGCGACCUGACUGUCCAAAAAACACGAAAUUUUCAAAUUAGACUUAUUCCAACAUGAUCAUUUGAAAACUGAGGUCCAUUUUUGAAAAGAGCAGUAAGUAACGAGAUGCAGAAACGAUGCAUCAACCUGAAUCGAAGAAUAAUCAUAUCAGUGGCUGCAAUCGCCAAGGUGCUAUGGAACAAAGACUGAACUAUCUCGAAAUUUCUUGCAGUUAAACAAAGCUAUUUGGGAGUGAACGGAAAUAGUGGGCAACUGGCAUGGAGGUAAAUCGCCGAAGUAAUAGCUUUGGUCACAGGAAUCAGGUCCAGAUUUGUAGCAUCGAAGGUUUAAAGGCGAUAAGCUAAUCACUUUGGGAACCAAAAAUGGUUUGUGAUCAUAUCAAAAGCUAUUCAAAUAACUGAAGAAUGUUGGAAGCGAGCUUUCCAUAAGGUAUUUUAAAGUUUUUCAAGGACCAGAGCUAUGUUUGACUGGCAACAAUUUAUCAACACGUCUAAAAUAGCCUCAUUUAACGAAAGGUCCAAACAAUACGAAUUCAU